rnacentral:lncRNA from 1 species
AACAAGUCUUUACAUCACUAAACAUACGACUGUAUUUAGUGACAACUUGAAUGUUUUUAAUCAACUAAUAGAAGUUCCUGUGUAUGUUUCAUGCACAAAUGUAUGAGUGUUGACGUAUAUUUUCGUUUCCGGCUUUACCAAGUGUGUAGAAUCUAGAUGCUACCGUGUUUCUACUUCCAAAUUGAAGAGUUCACGUGCUACUAUUGGUCAAGAAUAAUGUAUUCUGAAUUGGCGUGACUUCAAUCUUCCGAUAUAUGGCGCAACAUUGUUAUCACAAAUGUUGGCUUAAUCUGCUUAGCGUGGAGAGAACGGGAGUUGAUCGUAACCCUUGGCUAGCGAAGAUGAAUUUACCUAAGAUACGAUAAAUUUUACUAAUCAAAGAUUUUGUUUACCUCUGAUGUCUUUUAUAAAG